CGACGCCCGGGUCAGGGCCUGGGCGCGGCUCGGAGCCGGGUCGUCGCUAUAGCAAUCGGGAACCGCUACCUGUCCAUUCCAAGGAUUCGGUCCAGCAGAAGCGUGAGGAGGUGGCGGAGGCCCCGAGGGCUUUGCGUCAUCACUUCUGCGGCCUGCGGGCGAGAAGGUGCGCUUCGGGAGUAGCGCGGGAGGACAGGAGGCGCAGGUUGUGAGGGACGCAGGCCCUGGGGCUUCGGUCUCUGUCCUCCGAGCUCAGAGCCUCCAGGCUUCUUCCCGGCCGCGCGCUCAGCACUCACUGUCUUACGGUCCCGAAGCGCUUUAAGACGCUGAGCACAGUGCCAAACCUAUAUAGAAACUCAUUUGGGAUAUGGAGGAGAAUAUGCCACCAGUUCUCCAAAGUGGAGGGAACGUAAGCUCCAUCAGAGCAGGGACCAUGUCUGGC
rnacentral:lncRNA from 1 species